rnacentral:rRNA from 1 species
GGCAGCGAGCGUUGUUCGGAAUUACUGGGCGUAAAGAGUGUGUAGGCGGUGCUCCAAGUCUGGUGUGAAAUCUCCCGGCUCAACUGGGAGGGUGCGCCGGAAACUGGAGUGCUCGAGUGUGGGAGAGGAAAGCGGAAUUCCUGGUGUAGCGGUGAAAUGCGUAGAUAUCAGGAGGAACACCUGCGGUGUAGACAGCUUUCUGGACCACGACUGACGCUGAGACACGAAAGCGUGGGUAGCAAACAGGAUUAGAUACCCUGGUAGUCCACGCCCUAAACGAUGCAUACUUGGUGUGAGUCAUUCAUUUGAUUCGUGCCGGAGCUAACGCGUUAAGUAUGCCGCCUGGGGAGUACGGUCGCAAGGCUGAAACUCGAAGGAAUUGACGGGGGCCCGCACAAGCGGUGGAGCAUGUGGUUCAAUUCGACGCAACGCGAAGAACCUUACCUGGGCUCGAACGGCUUAAGACAGGGGUGGAAACACCCUCUCCCCUUAAAAGGCUUGAGUCGAGGUGCUGCAUGGCUGUCGUCAGCUCGUGUCGUGAGAUGUUGGGUUAAGUCCCGCAACGAGCGCAACCCUUGUCCUGUGUUGCCACUCCGUAAGGAAGCACUCGCAGGAGACCGCCAGCGAUAAGCUGGAGGAAGGUGGGGAUGAUGUCAAGUCAUCAUGGCCUUUAUGUCCAGGGCUACACACGUGCUACAAUGGCCGGUACAAAGCGCUGCAAACCCGCGAGGGGAAGCUAAUCGCAAAAAACCGGUCUCAGUUCGGAUCGCAGGCUGCAACUCGCCUGCGUGAAGA